ACCUUUCUUCCCCCGAUCUCAUCCUCUCCCUCAUCUCUCAUCGCCGCUCGACUCUUAUAUUCUCCCUAUCGACUCUCGGAGCUUCGCCGUGUUCUAUCCGAUUUCUAGGGUUUCUUGUCGAUAUAUUGGGUUUCCCGAGACUUCGAUCUCUUUCCCCAUGGCGGAGGUGAUCGACAUGCCUGCCGAAGCCCUAGAUCGCCGCCGGGACCGCCCGCUGGAGAGCCGAGAGAGCCCGACCGAUGGAUCUCCACCACCGCCGCCGCCCCCCCCGAGAAGAAGGGACAGGGAUUCGAGGGAGAGGAGGGACGAGAGGGACGACCGGCCUCCGAACCGGCGGGACGAUUACCACGACGUCAGGAACCGGUCGCCUCCGCUCCCGCCGCCUCCGCCGCUCGGGCCUUCGAGGGGGGAGAGGGAUCGGGAGUAUCGGAGGCGGAGCAGCCCCAGCCCGCCGCCUUUCGGUCACCGCAGGCACUCUCCUCCCCGCCGGUCCCCUCCGCCUGGGCCCUUUAAGCGGUCUCGGAGGGAGGACGGUGGAUACGACCGGCGUCGGGGUAGUCCUAGAGGAGGCUAUGGAUCAGACGAUAGAAGGUACGGCUAUGAUUAUGGUGGAGGGUAUGAUCGAGGCAGAGGUGGGUAUGCCGAUGAAAGGCCUCAUGGCCGUUACAUGAAUCGUCUAUCAGAUUGGCCUGAUUCAGGACGUGGUGGUUUUGGUGAUGGAGCAGAGGUCAUUCAAAGGGAAGGCUUGAUGUCCUACAAGCAGUUCAUCCAAGAGCUUGAAGAUGAUAUUUUACCAGCUGAAGCUGAGCGCAGGUACGAAGAGUACAGAUCAGAGUACAUUUCUACUCAGAAACGUACUUAUUUCGACACUCACAAGGAGGAAGAAUGGCUGAAGGACAAAUAUCAUCCGACCAACUUGGUGUCCGUUAUUGAAAGGCGGAAUGAACAUGCAAGAUCUAUUGCGAAGGAAUUCUUGCUUGAUUUGCAGAGUGGAACGCUUGACCUGGGUCCAGGUGCAACAGCUGCAGUAGUAACCCAAUCUGGAAAUGGUAGCGAUCCAAACUCUGAGGAUGAAAUGGACUCUAGUGGCAAAAGGAGGAGGCAUGGUAGGGGCCCAGCAAAAGAAAACAAUCCGCUUUCAGCAGCUCCCAAAGCCCACCCAGUUAGUUCUGAACUUCGAAGAAUUCAAGUUGACAUAGAACAAGCUCAGGCACUUGUCCAUAAACUUGACACAGAGAAGGGUAUCGAGGACAAUGUUCUGUCCAGUAGUGAUCAUGAUAAACUGGAUGGAGAGAAAUCCCAUGGUGGAUCUAUGGGGCCAAUUAUAAUAAUACGAGGAUUGACUACUGUCAAGGGUCUUGAGGGUGUUGAGCUGUUGGAUACCCUAAUCACUUAUUUGUGGCGCAUCCAUGGCGUAGAUUACUACGGCAUGUCUGAGAUAAAUGAGGCCAAGGGCCUUCGGCAUGUGAGAGCUGACAGUAAGAGCUUUGAUGGAUCUAAUACGAGUGGAGCUGAUUGGGAGAAGAAACUUGAUGCAUUCUGGCAGAAGAGACUGCAAGGUCAGGAUCCCCUAGAAAUUUUGACAGCCAAGGAUAAAAUUGAUGCAGCAGCAGUCGAGGCUCUAGAUCCUUAUGUGCGGAAAAUAAGAGAUGAAAAAUAUGGUUGGAAGUAUGGUUGUGGAGCCAAGGGCUGCACAAAGCUUUUCCAUGCUGCUGAGUUUGUUCAUAAACAUCUUAGACUCAAACACCCUGACCUUGUGAUGGAGCUGACCUCAAAAGUUCGGGAAGAUCUGUAUUUUCAAAAUUAUAUGAAUGAUCCAAAUGCGCCUGGUGGAACGCCCGUCAUGCAGCAAUCUGCACUGGUAGGACUCCUUUUAAGGUCAAGGCACCAAGAUACAGGCUGCUUUCAGAUAACCGUCUUAGAGAUGAACGUGGCAAUCGUAGGGAGCAUGACAGGGCUAAUAGAAAUGACGAUAGGUAUGAUAGGACUGAUCACUCACCAUCUCAUGAUGCAAAUGGUGGGUCUGAAGGGGGGAAUCAUGAUGAAACAAUGUAUGAUGCAUUUGGUGGACAAGGUUUGCAUGGAGGUCCUUUUCCUGCAGAUAUGCCCCCUCCUCCACCAGUAUUGAUGCCUGUACCUGGUGCUGGUCCAUUGGGACCUUUUGUUCCUGCCCCACCAGAAGUUGCCAUGCGUAUGUUGAGAGAGCAGGGUGGUCCAUCUUCAUUUGAAGCAAAUGGUGGCCCUCGUGGUAGGAAAGGAAGGCUUGGUCCUGGGUCAGCACCAAUUCUUGCUGUACCUCCAGCAUUUCGACAUGAUCCUCGUCGUAUUCGGAGUUACCAAGACCUUGACGCCCCAGAGGAUGAAGUGACUGUUAUAGACUACAGGAGCUUGUAGACUCCAUUUCCUGUUAUACUUUGGAAGGAUAUUUAUAUCAUGAUUGGAAUAUAGGCUCAAAAGCAUACCUGUGGUCUAAUUGCAAUUGAGUUGGUUCGUUCGAUGAAUUGAUCAUACAUUUGUACCAUAGUCACAGCUAUGCGAGACCUUUUGGUCAUGUUCUAGUUUGUUGCAGGAAGAGGUGACAUCAAUCAAUAGAAUUUGAUCAGGACGCAUGAUGUGUGCAUAUGGAUUAUGAUAUAUCCAAUUUUCAGAUCAUGUACGUCAGUUUCCAAUGACGCUGAAGGCUUGAAACAUUGUGGUUUUGAGUACAGAAUUCCAGAAUUUAAGUUACCACGCAUGAAAUGAAUUUGUGAUUUGAAAUU